rnacentral:ncRNA from 2 species
GUGAGGGUAGAGCGGGGUUUCCCCCGCCCUGGUAGUCUUAGUAUGCUGGGUAGCUAAUGACUAAGAGCACCACGAUGAUGAGUAGCUUCAUCAUGACCCUUUCCUUAUUUAAGGCCCCUUCCUCGGGAGGGGCUUU